UGUCGAAUGGGGAAAUUCAUUCGCGUUUCGGCCGUCGGAGUUGAACGAUCGCGUGACGGAUGAUGUGCGUUCGCGUACGUUGUCCGCGCCUUUUGUUCUUCGAUCUGAUGCCGAACGCGUGCACUUUUCCCCUAGUAGGACGUCGCGAUCCGUUGGGUGUCUGUCUAAGACUCGAGGUGGAGCCCACGUGACAUUUACUCGUUGCGUGGACCCUUGAUGUUCCGACAGACUCGCUCGACGGUAUGCUAAUGGCGCGGGGCCGCCACUCAGUUGGCGUUCGGCCCGUAUCAAGCACGUUCUGCGUUUGAUGGCGAUCGGACUUAGUGCCGAUUCCGUCCCGGAACGACUGUUGGUUACGGUGUUCUCGAACAGACCUCG
rnacentral:rRNA from 1 species